rnacentral:snRNA from 1 species
GUGACUUCUAUUUGGAUUUGUUGG